rnacentral:rRNA from 1 species
AUGGUACCUAAAAUUACUGAUUUUGGUCUAUCAAGGUGUUUCGAGGAAGGGCAAACAAGUGCAUUCACUGAACAAAUAUUUCUAUCACGAGGAUAUUUUGCUCCGGAACUACUGAGAGGACAAAUCACAUAUAAGUUAGACAUAUUUAGCCUAGGCGCCAUAAUCAUGGAGAUACUGAUAGGAGAGAAGAGUUAUCCCGAAGAUGAGAAGGUAGUUGCCAGUUGGAUGAAUCAGGUAGUUGCAAGUUGGAUGGAUCGACUGGAGGCAUUAGAGGGAGAUACACAGUUGGAACAAGUAAGAGUAUGCACUAAGAUAGGGAUAGAAUGUUUGGACUUGAACCCGAAGAAGAGACCAGAUGCAGGGGACAUAAUCGAUAGGCUUGAUAAAACAGGAAGUGUGGACUAUUCAGACAAAAUUGGUAUCAGCAGUUCAUCAUCUGAGCAGAGUCACAAGAAGGUCAAGCCUGCAGACCUUAUCCAAGAGGAUGAAAAGGUAAACUGGAGAUCAUUCAACGUUGAUGGUCUAAACAAGUUCACAGAGGUUGAGAUUAAAAGGAUCACUGACAACUAUAGCACUCUCAUUAGCAAAAGUGGCUCCGCAGAAGUUUACCAUGGUGUUCUUGAAGAUGGUAGUUCUGUUGCAGUCAAGAUUCCACUCCCAGAUAUGAAGGAACAUUUUGCUAAAGGAAUAAUCAUACAUUGCCAAAUCAACCACAAGAACGUUGUUAGGCUCUUGGGCUACUGUUCAGAGGAAAACGUUUUAAUGAUGAUCACCGAAUACACCUCUGGAGGAAACCUCAGAGAUGUUCUUGAUUCCAGAGAAUAUCCCAUUUCUUUAGAUGCAAGGUUGGGUAUUGCUCUAGACUGUGCAGAGGUGUUAAGCUACACGCAUUCUUCCAUGUGUCCACCAAUCAUUCACGGUGAUUUCAAGCCAGGUAACAUCCUUUUAGAUGAUAACUUUGGUGCGAAAUUAUUCGACUUCGAGAUAUCCAGAAUGUUUUCCAAGGACAGCACUCAAUACACAGUGAAUGUGAUAGGCAGCAUAGGUUACAUGGAUCCGUUGUUUGCUAAGACUGGGUACAUCGAUCCGAAGAGUGAUGUUUACAGUUUUGGGAUCGUAUUGGUAGAACUAGUCACCAGAAAAAAGGUAUAUGAAAAUGGUACAAUUACUGACCUCAUAGAAACUUUCAUCCUAGCUGUUCAAAAAGGAAAGAAGGCAAGAGAGAUGUUCGAUGCUGAUAUAGCACAGUCGAGCAACAUUAAGGUUCUUGACAAGAUUGUAAAUCUAGCAGCUGAGUGCCUCAGAAUGGAGAUGAGCAAACGCCCUCAAAUGGAAGAUGUUGCAGAACGUCUUCGGAUGCUAAUAAAAGCUCGUUGCCAGCCGGGUGAAGAAAAAACUGCAGGUCACUGGACAUUGUGGGGAAAACAAGACAACAACACAACACAAAGCGAAAGGAUUUCCAGCUCUAACUCUACCGUGUUCUUCAACUUGAACAGUUUGGGCAUCUUCAGUAGGAAUGCGCACACGAAUUUCAAAAGGAAUGGAGGUCCAGUACUGCAGAAUGUCAAGGGACUACACAUUUUCACAAAAAGUGAACUAAGAAAAAUCACCAACAACAACUCAGAGUUUCUUUCAAUCGGAAGCUUUGGUAAAGUCUGCAAAGGAACCCUUCCUGACAACAUCGCAGUGGCAGUUAUGUCCUCUGUCAAAGUAACUGAAUCUAUAAAAGAGCAGUUUAUCAAGCAACUCGAGAUCCAGACACAUAUGAUGCACGUGAAUAUUCUCAGCCUCAUCGGUUGCUGCCUGGAGGUGGAUGUUCCAAUGUUGGUGUAUGAGUUUGCCGGCAAAGGAAGUCUUCAAGACAUUCUUCAUGGCAACAGCAGAAACCAAAAGCUCCCCUUAGACCUGCGUCUGGAUAUUGCAAUUGGAACUGCACAAGGUUUAACAUAUAUGCACUCCUACGGAGAUCAAGCCAUACGGCACGGUGAUGUCAAACCGGACAACAUACUUCUGGAUGACAAGUUCGUACCAAAAAUCUCGGAUUUCGGGUUAUGGAAGGUGCUUAGAGAGGAAUAUUAUUUCGGCAAGAUUGUAGCUGGGGACAUGGCCUACGUUGACCCGGUGUUCCUUAAAACCGGGCAACUGACAGAAAAAAGCGACGUCUACAGCUUUGGGGCGAUUCUCUUAGAACUCAUUACCAGGAAGCGAAGUGUAUAUGAUGAAUACUGUAGCCUCAUUUUGGAGUUCCGUAAAGUCUGUGAGAAAGAAAAGAGCGGUAGGGCGAUGUUUGACGAGGAGAUCGCAACUCAAGAAGAAGAUAUCUAUUGCCUGGAAGAAACUGGCAAGCUGGCAAUUGAGUGCCUAAAAGAAGAUGUAGAAGAUCGGCCCGACAUGGCGGCGGUAGUCGAGCGACUAGUAAUGCUUAAAAUGGAUAGGAUGCUUAAGAGUUAG